UAGUCAUAUGCUGUCUCAAAGAUUAAGCCAUGCAUGUCUAAGUACAUACUGUUUAUAAAGUGAAACCGCGAAUGGCUCAUUAAAUCAGUGCCCUCCCGCGAUGGACCACCUCACCGUGGUGGGAGGGUGCUAUGUCCCCACUAGGCUAUUGAUCAUUACUGGGUCUCUAGCUGGCGGAUACUAAGAGUUCAUCGGGUAAUACCUGAGCCAAGACACAGGAACCUGUUCAGUGAUUUCGGUCGCUGUCUAAGGACUAGCAGUGGGGAUCUUAGCAACUUCGGUUGCAUUUCUUGUGAUGACUCUGAAUAACUGAGCAAAUCGUAUGGCCUCUGAGCCGACGAUGUAUCCCUCAAGCAACUGCCUUAUCAACUGUCGAUGGUAGGUUAUGCGCCUACCAUGGUUGUAACGGGUAACGGGGAAUUAGGGUUCGAUUCCGGAGAGGGAGCCUGAGAAACGGCUACCACAUCUAAGGAAGGCAGCAGGCGCGCAAAUUACACAAUCCCAGUACGGGGAUGUAGUGACGAAAAAAACAAUACGGGACUCUAUUGAGGCCCCGUAAUUGGAAUGAGUACAAUUUAAAUCCUUUAACGAGGAUCUAUUGGAGGGCAAGUCUGGUGCCAGCAGCCGCGGUAAUUCCAGCUCCAAUAGCGUAUAUUA
rnacentral:rRNA from 1 species